UCCCGCUUAUCACGGGCAGUUUCCUUAGAGUUCCCACCAUUACGUGCUGGCAACUAAGGGCGAGGGUUGCGCUCGUUGCGGGACUUAACCCAACAUCUCACGACACGAGCUGACGACAGCCAUGCAGCACCUGUGUGCACGCCACCCGAGGUGAAGGAAUCCAUCUCUGGAAUCCAAACGUGCCAUGUCAAGGCCUGGUAAGGUUCUUCGCGUUGCCUCGAAUUAAACCACAUGCUCCACCGCUUGUGCGGGUCCCCGUCAAUUCCUUUGAGUUUUAAUCUUGCGACCGUACUCCCCAGGCGGAAUGCUUAAUGCGUUAGCUGCGCCACCGAAGAGCAAGCUCCCCAACGGCUGGCAUUCAUCGUUUACGGCGUGGACUAC
rnacentral:misc_RNA from 1 species